CCUAUGGACGGGAAUAACCUCGGGAAACUGAGAAUAAUGCCCGAUAGAACAUUAUGCCUGGAAUGGUUUAUGUUCCAAAUGAUUUAUCGCCAUAGGAUGGGACUGCGGCCUAUCAGUUUGUUGGUGAGGUAAUGGCCCACCAAGACUAUUACAGGUACGGGCUCUGAGAGGAGUAGCCCGGAGAUGGGUACUGAGACACGGACCCAGGCCCUAUGGGGCGCAGCAGGCGAGAAAACUUUGCAAUGUGCGAAAGCACGACAAGGUUAAUCCGAGUGAUUUCUGCUAAAGAGAUCUUUUGUUAGUCCUAGAAACACUAACGAAUAAGGGGUGGGCAAGUUCUGGUGUCAGCCGCCGCGGUAAAACCAGCACCUCAAGUGGUCAGGAUGAUUAUUGGGCCUAAAGCAUCCGUAGCCGGCUCUGUAAGUUUUCGGUUAAAUCUGUACGCUCAACGUACAGGCUGCCGGAAAUACUGCAGAACUAGGGAGUGGGAGAGGUAGACGGUACUCGGUAGGAAGUGGUAAAAUGCUUUGAUCUAUCGAUGACCACCUGUGGCGAAGGCGGUCUACCAGAACACGUCCGACGGUGAGGGAUGAAAGCUGGGGGAGCAAACCGGAUUAGAUACCCGGGUAGUCCCAGCUGUAAACUAUGCAAACUCAGUGAUGCAUUGGCUUGUGGCCAAUGCAGUGCUGCAGGGAAGCCGUUAAGUUUGCCGCCUGGGAAGUACGUACGCAAGUAUGAAACUUAAAGGAAUUGGC
rnacentral:rRNA from 1 species